rnacentral:rRNA from 1 species
UACAGAGGGUGCAAGCGUUGUUCGGAAUUACUGGGCGUAAAGAGUGUGUAGGCGGUGCUCUAAGUCUGUUGUGAAAUCUCCCGGCUUAACCGGGAGGGUGCGGCGGAAACUGGAGUGCUUGAGGGUGGGAGAGGUAAGCGGAAUUCCUGGUGUAGCGGUGAAAUGCGUAGAUAUCAGGAGGAACACCUGUGGUGUAGACAGCUUACUGGACCACUUCUGACGCUGAGACACGAAAGCGUGGGUAGCAAACAGG